GGACUACUGGGGUAUCUAAUCCUGUUCGCUCCCCACGCUUUCGCUCCUCAGCGUCAGUUACUGCCCAGAGACCCGCCUUCGCCACCGGUGUUCCUCCUGAUAUCUGCGCAUUCCACCGCUACACCAGGAAUUCCAGUCUCCCCUGCAGUACUCCAGUCUGCCCGUAUCGCCCGCACGCCCCCAGUUAAGCCAGGGAAUUUCACGAACAACGCGACAAACCACCUACGAGCUCUUUACGCCCAGUAAUUCCGGACAACGCUCGCACCCUACGUAUUACCGCGGCUGCUGGCAC
rnacentral:rRNA from 1 species